AACGCGAAGAACCUUACCUGGUCUUGACAUCCACAGAACUUUCCAGAGAUGGAUUGGUGCCCUCGGGAACUGUGAGACAGGUGCUGCAUGGCUGUCGUCAGCUCGUGUUGUGAAAUGUUGGGUUAAGUCCCGCAACGAGCGCAACCCUUAUCUUUUGUUGCCAGCGGUCCGGCCGGGAACUCAAAGGAGACUGCCAGUGAUAAACUGGAGGAAGGUGGGGAUGACGUCAAGUCAUCAUGGCCCUUACGACCAGGGCUACACACGUGCUACAAUGGCGCAUACAAAGAGAAGCGACCUCGCGAGAGCAAGCGGACCUCAUAAAGUGCGUCGUAGUCCGGAUUGGAGUCUGCAACUCGACUCCAUGAAGUCGGAAUCGCUAGUAAUCGUGGAUCAGAAUGCCACGGUGAAUACGUUCCCGGGCCUUGUACACACCG
rnacentral:rRNA from 1 species